GGGUCAGUAGGUUGGUCGUGCCACCGGUACGUACUGGUCUCACUGAUUCCUCCUUCCUGAAGAACCGUAAUGCCAUUAAAUUGGUGUUGCGGGGAAACAGGACUGUUACUUUGAAAAAAUUAGAGUGUUUAAAGCAAGCUAACGCUUGAAUACAUUAGCAUGGAAUAAUGGAAUAGGACGAUCGAUCCUAUUUUGUUGGUUUCUAGGAUUGACGUA
rnacentral:rRNA from 1 species